rnacentral:SRP_RNA from 1 species
GUCCAGGUCCUAUGCAAAAAUCUUCUUUCAAACCCCGUCAGAUCCGGAAGGAAGCAGCGGUAGAUUGUUUGAUUUUGUGCCGUAGAUCACCUGGACUUU